rnacentral:rRNA from 1 species
AUUGAACGCUGGCGGAAUGCUUUACACAUGCAAGUCGAACGGCAGCAUAGGUGCUUGCACCUGAUGGCGAGUGGCGAACGGGUGAGUAAUACAUCGGAACGUGCCCAGUCGUGGGGGAUAACGUAGCGAAAGUUACGCUAAUACCGCAUACGAUCUAAGGAUGAAAGCGGGGGAACGUAAGGCCUCGCGCGAUUGGAGCGGCCGAUGUCAGAUUAGGUAGUUGGUGAGGUAAAGGCUCACCAAGCCGACGAUCUGUAGCUAGUCUGAGAGGACGACCAGCCACACUGGGACUGAGACACGGCCCAGACUCCUACGGGAGGCAGCAGUGGGGAAUUUUGGACAAUGGACGCAAGUCUGAUCCAGCCAUUCCGCGUGCAGGACGAAGGCCUUCGGGUUGUAAACUGCUUUUGUACGGAACGAAAAAGCUCUUACUAAUACUAGGAGUCCAUGACGGUACCGUAAGAAUAAGCACCGGCUAACUACGAGCCAGCCGCCGCGGUAA